CAAAUCAAAUGUAUUUAUAUAGCCCUUCGUACAUCAGCUGAUAUCUCAAAAUGCUGUACAGAAACCCAGCCCCAAACAGCAAGCAAUGCAGGUGUAGAAGCAGUGUUAUCAUGCCACAGAUGUCUCGAGUUGAGGGAGAAUGUAAUUGGCAUGCCGACUGUGGGAAUGUCCACCAGAGCUGUCUUCCAUAAGCUGCAUCCAACGUUGUUUUAGUGAGUGAAUUUGGGAGACUGUAAUAUAUAUAUAUAUUAUAUAUGCCAUUUAGCAGACGCUUUUAUCCUAAGAGCUACUGUCCAACCAGUAACGAUGGACUGCCUCCAUCUGUUCAUUAUCAAGAUGUUCUUGAUAAUGAACAGAUGGAGGCAGUCCAUCGUUACUACUUGUUAUAGUAUAAAUAUAAUAUAAUAUAUGAAUUUGGGAGACUGUCCAACCGGCCUCAACUGCAGGUGAAACCACGCCAGCCCAGGUGCUCUACAUCAGGGGGUGCUGAGGAGUGUCUGUCUGUAAUGAAGCCCAUUUGUCCGGACAACUCAUUCUGAGUGGGUGGGCCUAAGCCCUCCCAGGCCCAUUCUGAUUGGCUGGGCCUGGCUCCCCAGUGGGUGGGCCUAAGCCCUCCCAGGCCCUCCCAUGGCUACGCCCCUGCCCAGUCAUGUGAAUUCCAUUAGAUUACGACCGAAUGAAUUUAUUUCAUUAAAUGAACGGAGUGUAAAUCAUUGCCAUGUUUGUUCAGUAUAUAUUUAACAGGCAGGUUAGCAUUACCAAACACAUUUCCUCAUUGAUAUGUUUGUUCAGUAUAUAUUUAACAGGCAGGUUAGCAUUACCAAACACAUUUCCUCAUUGAUCCGAGCUGAAUUGUGACUAACAGUUGGGUAUAAAAUGCUGUUGUCUGGU